AUUCGCGUGUCAUCGUUGUAUUGUGAUCCUGUGAACUGCCCGUGUGUGGAGCUCUGACUGUCUGGAUAAGAGUUUUCUCUUGUUCCUGUCAGGACUUUGCCGGGUCUUUCUUCACUUGGCUCUUAUGAUGCGUCUGUAUAUGGCGAUCAGCAAAUCUUAUAACUUCCAGCAGUGGAUCUCUUGGCUCAAGUGCUGAGGAAGGGUGCAGCAAAGUGUGAUAAGCAUUGUGAUGUGCGAGAUCCUGUGAACCAUUAGACUCCCGAUCGCAUUCUGUACUUGCGGAAUCUUCUGCAAGUAACCCAGCACCAGGGUCAUGGUUACUUCCUCCUUCACUCAGGGUUCUCUCUGUGUGUUGGGGCAUUGCUCUGGGCAAGGGGGUGGUGCAAUAUCCUUCUCCUUGACCAUGAUUGUGACCUACACUGGAUGUUAAGGGCAAGGUCUGUAUUCCAUCUCUCUCUAUGAGUUAUAGAGACAGAUUCUACCCUUUAUCCUGGUGUUAUAGCAGGGGUUGAAUUCCUCUUCUCUAAAUGUCAUGGUGCUUGGCAAGCAAACCCGCUGAAUUUAAGCAUAUAAGUAGGCGGAGGAAAAGAAACCGAAUGGGAAUCUCUUAGUAAUGGCGAAUGAAAAGAGAUGUGCUUAGCGUCAAAAUCAGGUUUUCCUGACUUGUAGGCUGUAGGGGUUAUGCCAACUUGGGUGCAGGUGCAAGUCUCUUGGAAAGGAGCACCAGUGAGGGUCAGGGUCCCGCCUGUCAUCUGUCAUCCCUUGUAGACGGUUUGCCCAUUGAGAGUCGUGUUCUUCUGGAAUAGAGCGCCAAACGGGUGGUACUCUUUGCCUAAGGAGCAUUACGUGCUUGAGACCAAUAGUGAACAAGUACCAUGAGGGAAGGAUGAAAAGGACUUUGGAAAGAGGGUUAAGAGGGCAUGAAGCUGCUGGAAGGGAAGUGGAUUGGACUUUUGUUUGUGGUAAGAUUGCAGGGUGCAGCUCUCACUUGUGAGGACCUGCGCUCUGUGUCUCUUGCUACUCGGUUGGGCUCUGUGUGGCGCUCAGAAUCUUAGCGUGGAUUGGCUUGACGGUUGCGGCCUGAUCCAUAUCCUUGCCUACUCUUGGUGCAACAUAAUGCUGAUAAA
rnacentral:rRNA from 1 species